GAUGAACGCUGGCGGCGUGCCUAAUACAUGCAAGUCGAGCGAACAGACGAGGAGCUUGCUCCUCUGACGUUAGCGGCGGACGGGUGAGUAACACGUGGAUAACCUACCUAUAAGACUGGGAUAACUUCGGGAAACCGGAGCUAAUACCGGAUAAUAUAUUGAACCGCAUGGUUCAAUAGUGAAAGACGGUUUUGCUGUCACUUAUAGAUGGAUCCGCGCCGCAUUAGCUAGUUGGUAAGGUAACGGCUUACCAAGGCAACGAUGCGUAGCCGACCUGAGAGGGUGAUCGGCCACACUGGAACUGAGACACGGUCCAGACUCCUACGGGAGGCAGCAGUAGGGAAUCUUCCGCAAUGGGCGAAAGCUUGACGGAGCAACGCCGCGUGAGUGAUGAAGGUCUUCGGAUCGUAAAACUCUGUUAUUAGGGAAGAACAAAUGUGUAAGUAACUAUGCACGUCUUGACGGUACCUAAGCAGAAAGCCACGGCUAACUACGG
rnacentral:rRNA from 1 species